rnacentral:rRNA from 1 species
GACUUAUGCGAAAGCAUUUGCCAAGGAUGUUUUCAUUAAUCAAGAACGAAAGU